GUGAAUCAUCGAAUUUUUGAACGCAAAUUGCACUCUCCUCGGAGAGUAUGCCUGUUUGAGGGCCAGCCUAUAAAAAAUCGACAUCGUUGCUGUUUCGCGGUGGCGUUCGUCGGAAACUGGGUCAUCUUAAAUCCUUUUGAUUUAAGCGACUUAAAAUUUUCUUUUUGUUUCAUUAACGUUUCUAAGAACUAUUUCUUUACACUUUUAAUUUAUCGAUUUUUACUAGACGUUACCAUCAUAUCGGAUCGCGUCUAGUAUCUUUCAUUCA
rnacentral:misc_RNA from 1 species